GUGCUGCUGAAGAGUCCCAAACUAGGAUGAAACAGCUGUCUAGUAC
rnacentral:hammerhead_ribozyme from 1 species